GUAGUCAUAUGCUUGUCUCAAAGAUNNAGCCAUGCAUGUCUAAGUGCAAGCCUAUCCUUAUGGUGAAACCGCGAAUGGCUCAUUAAAUCAGUUAUGAUUUACUUGAAUAUGAAAUCACUUGGAUAACUGUGGUAAUUCUAGAGCUAAUACAUGCUAGAUUGCCCUGGGGUUUACGCCACAGGGCAAGCAUUUAUUAGAUUCAAACCCUCCGGUGAGUCUUAACGGACGAACUGGGUAAAAAGGGUGUUGACUCUGAAUAACUAAGCCGAUCGCUUAGGCCAUUGAGCCGGCGACAAUUCAUUCAAGUGUCUGCUCUAUCAACUGUCGAUGGUAGGUUAAACGCCUACCAUGGUUGUAACGGGUGACGGAGAAUCAGGGUUCGAUUCCGGAGAGGGAGCCUGAAAAACGGCUACCACAUCCAAGGAAGGCAGCAGGCGCGCAAAUUACCCAAUCCCAGAAAUGGGGGAGGUAGUGACGAAAAAUAACAAUACGGAACUCUUUUGAGGCUCCGUAAUUGGAAUGAGCACAUUUUAAAUCCCUUAACAAGGACCAAUUGGAGGGAAAGUCUGGUGCCAGCAACCGCGGUAAUACCAGCUCCAAUAGCGUAUAUUACAGUUGUUGCGGUUAAAAAGCUCGUAGUUGAAACCUGGAGUACAGGAGAAUAGUCGCCUUUGGCGGCGCCUCUCUCUGUGCUCAUCCGGGGUGGCUGUCUGUUGUUCUCUUUACCGAGGGCUUCGGGUGGCCACCAUAAAUCACUCUGAUAAAAUUAGAGUGCUCAAAGCAGGCCUUGUGCCUGUAUAUCAAUGCAUGGAAUGAUGGAACACGUUGAUCGUGCCAUUUGUGGUUUUGGAACGAACAAGAUGAUUGAGAGGAACAGUCGGGGGCAUUUGUACUGCGGCGAUAGAGGUGAAAUUCUUGGACCGUCGCAAGACAAACUAAAGCGAAAGCAUUUGCCAAGUAUGUUUUCAUUGAUCAAGAACGAAAGUUAGAGGUUCGAAGGCGAUCAGAUACCGCCCUAGUUCUAACCAUAAACGAUGCCAACCAGCAAUCCGCCUGAGUUGUCUUAUUGACUCGGCGGGCAGCUCCGGGAAACCUAAGUUAGGUUCCGGGGGAAGUAUGGUUGCAAAGCUGA
rnacentral:rRNA from 1 species